CUGUGCAGAACCAGAACCAGAACCUCUAGACUCCAUCUGCCUCUCAAUGAACAUCAGCUUUUACUAGAACUCUUAUUCCAUGUCAGGAAUUUAACUUUUACAUUUAUACAGUCUGAUGUCCUCACCUUCUCCUCAGUUAUAAUACUUAUUUUUAACUUUUACUACUACUGCUACCAGUACUAUUAAUACUACUUUAAAUGUACCACUCCUCUCUCAGUAACCCACUUUACACAGACACCGUAAAUGCUGCUGUUUAUGUGUUUAUAUUGUGGUACUUUCUUUCUUUUCUCCUUUAUUUGCAGUUCUUAGUUUAUUUCUCUGAUUACUGCACUCAGAGCUGAGACUCACCAGAGUCAGAUUUGUCAUUUGUGUGUGAAACUGGGCCUGCAGAGUUGAUUCUGAUUUCAUUCAUUUCUUUCUUCUAUUAUUCUAUUUCUUCUUUCUUCUAUUUCAUGCUGUGUUUUUAAUUUAUUCCUGCUGGAACCAGAACUGGGACCUGUCUAACAUGUUCUACGCUGACCUUCAGACCUCAGGAUCCAACUGAUAGAUCCUGAUGAUCAGGUUGACCUCUGACCUUUGUGUUAACGUGUUUUACUGAGCUGCAAAAAGAUGCAGAGUUUUCUUUCAUUCAUGAUCAUGUCAGACAGAGGAACCAAACAACAAACUGUCAUAAAUCAGAAUCUGUCUUCAGCCUUCAACAUCUGAACUGAAAGGCCAACAGGGUGGUUUUAAUCCAGAAGGUUCCAGCAGCUUCAUGGAGAUCUGUAUACCGGGACACAACCAGAAGGAAUGCAGUGGUAUCAACAAGAAUUCAACUACUGGAUGCAUCAGUGAUUUCUGGAUGUUCUGAUGGUUCUGAUGGACCCAGCAGAACAUCUGCUUGAAGUGCUUCAUAAUAAAUACACAUAAAAUCAGUUCUAAUGAUAAAGCACAGCAUAUUUUUGACACCAGCAAUUUAAUUAAAGCAGAAGAAGACAGAUCAAUAGAUCAGUGAUUAGGUUUUUAGCUGCACAUGAACUGAUCCUGAUCAGAAAGGAUAUAAGUAUUAAUAUUAACAAUAAUAUUAAUGUCAAGUGGUGCAUUAAGAUGUAAUCAGACGCUGAAUUCAAGUGUUUAACAGCUUUAAUCCAUCUGGUUUAAACAAUACAGUGUCUAUGUAUAUUAUUGUACAUUGGCACAUUCAUAAAACUGCAAUUAAUAUUAAUUUAUGAACUCCACUGCGAUUUUUAACAUUAUUUUUGCAUCUUUACUCCAUUAAUUCACCACAGCGGGUUAAAAACACACAGCAGGAAAGUCAUUCUGACUGUUGUCUGUCAUAAACUUUGAUUCUGCGCGGUUAUUUCCUUUAAAAGAGAGAAAUAAAUGAGUUUAAACGGGUAAAGUAGCGUCAGCGGGCCGAUUUGAACUGCCGCGGUGGUGUUAGGGAAAUCCCGAGUCAUGUGACCAAAUUGGAACAAUCGGGGCUCUCCCAUUGGUUGCCAAAAACUCGACAGAAGAAUUCGGAACAAGCGAGCGACGUGAUUGGCCGAGCGACCGCAGCAUUACGGCACCAUGACAGAGGAGAGGAGGACCGGGGGCCAGGAGGGAAAUUGGAACAAUUGGAACAGAGAAGAUUGGGAAUUCAUAGGAGAAAGCUGGUGGCAAAAAACGAGAAAAGACGAAGAGAAAAGGUGGACAUGAGAGGGAGAUGGAGAAGAAAAAAAGGUUGCUCGAGGAGGAAGGGGCAAAGUGUUAUAAAAUAACACACAUGUUUCAUCAACCCCCGCCCAGGUCCAGCAGUGUACAGUUGAAAAUAAAUGAUGCUGCUGCUUCAAGAGAGUUUGAUGGCCUUCUGCUGGGUGACAGGGGUUACCAUGCCAACCCAGGCUGAUGACCUCAUACCCUGACCCUCAACCAGUCCCCCAACAGAACUUCAACUGGACUCACUGCAGGACCAGGGCCUGGGUGGAGAUGACCAUAGGCCUGCUGAAAGCCCGUUUCCAGAGCCUACGUCUCCUCAGGGUGACCCCUGAGAGGACCUGUGAUAUUACUGUGGCAUGUGAUGUUCUUCAUAAUAUUGCCACUAUUAGAGGAGAGCAACACACUGCCCUACAAACUGAAGACCCAGAUGAUGAGCCCAUCCACCUGCAGCUAUCCAGGACAGCAGAGCAGUCAGAGACACCGUAUGCAAUAAUCACUUUAGAGUUUAAGUCACCAUCAUCACCACCACAGCAAAUAAAGACAUGAUACACAUUUCA